CAUGAUGAUACCUAGGUAUGCUGCACACUCCCGACUGUGUCAUACAGAGGCCAGACUUGGAGAGCUGAGUGG